CUUGCUUUCUUUGCUGGCGACCGGCGCACGGGUGAGUAACACGUAUCCAACCUGCCCUUUACUCGGGGAUAGCCUUUCGAAAGAAAGAUUAAUACCCGACGGCAUAAUGAUUCCGCAUGGUUUCAUUAUUAAAGGAUUCCGGUAAAGGAUGGGGAUGCGUUCCAUUAGGUUGUUGGUGAGGUAACGGCCCACCAAGCCUUCGAUGGAUAGGGGUUCUGAGAGGAAGGUCCCCCACAUUGGAACUGAGACACGGUCCAA
rnacentral:rRNA from 1 species